UACGUAGGGGGCAAGCGUUGUUCGGAAUUACUGGGCGUAAAGGGCUCGUAGGCGGCCAACUAAGUCAGACGUGAAAUCCCUCGGCUUAACCGGGGAACUGCGUCUGAUACUGGAUGGCUGGAGUUUGGGAGAGGGAUGCGGAAUUCCAGGUGUAGCGGUGAAAUGCGUAGAUAUCUGGAGGAACACCGGUGGCGAAGGCGGCAUCCUGGACCAAUACUGACGCUGAGGAGCGAAAGCCAGGGGAGCAAACGGG
rnacentral:rRNA from 1 species